GAUGAACGCUGGCGGCGUGCCUAAUACAUGCAAGUCGAGCGAACGGACGAGAAGCUUGCUUCUCUGAUGUUAGCGGCGGACGGGUGAGUAACACGUGGAUAACCUACCUAUAAGACUGGGAUAACUUCGGGAAACCGGAGCUAAUACCGGAUAAUAUUUUGAACCGCAUGGUUCAAAAGUGAAAGACGGUCUUGCUGUCACUUAUAGAUGGAUCCGCGCUGCAUUAGCUAGUUGGUAAGGUAACGGCUUACCAAGGCAACGAUGCAUAGCCGACCUGAGAGGGUGAUCGGCCACACUGGAACUGAGACACGGUCCAGACUCCUACGGGAGGCAGCAGUAGGGAAUCUUCCGCAAUGGGCGAAAGCCUGACGGAGCAACGCCGCGUGAGUGAUGAAGGUCUUCGGAUCGUAAAACUCUGUUAUUAGGGAAGAACAUAUGUGUAAGUAACUGUGCACAUCUUGACGGUACCUAAUCAGAAAGCCACGGCUAACUACGUGCCAGCAGCCGCGGUAAUACGUAGGUGGCAAGCGUUAUCCGGAAUCAUUGGGCGUAAAGCGCGCGUAGGCGGUUUUUUAAGUCUGAUGUGAAAGCCCACGGCUCAACCGUGGAGGGUCAUUGGAAACUGGAAAACUUGAGUGCAGAAGAGGGAAGUGGAAUUCCAUGUGUAGCGGUGAAAUGCGCAGAGAUAUGGAGGAACACCAGUGGCGAAGGCGACUUUCUGGUCUGUAACUGACGCUGAUGUGCGAAAGCGUGGGGAUCAAACAGGAUUAGAUACCCUGGUAGUCCACGCCGUAAACGAUGAGUGCUAAGUGUUAGGGGGUUUCCGCCCCUUAGUGCUGCAGCUAACGCAUUAAGCACUCCGCCUGGGGAGUACGACCGCAAGGUUGAAACUCAAAGGAAUUGACGGGGACCCGCACAAGCGGUGGAGCAUGUGGUUUAAUUCGAAGCAACGCGAAGAACCUUACCAAAUCUUGACAUCCUUUGACAACUCUAGAGAUAGAGCUUUCCCCUUCGGGGGACAAAGUGACAGGUGGUGCAUGGUUGUCGUCAGCUCGUGUCGUGAGAUGUUGGGUUAAGUCCCGCAACGAGCGCAACCCUUAAGCUUAGUUGCCAUCAUUAAGUUGGGCACUCUAAGUUGACUGCCGGUGACAAACCGGAGGAAGGUGGGGAUGACGUCAAAUCAUCAUGCCCCUUAUGAUUUGGGCUACACACGUGCUACAAUGGACAAUACAAAGGGCAGCGAAACCGUGAGGUCAAGCAAAUCCCAUAAAGUUGUUCUCAGUUCGGAUUGUAGUCUGCAACUCGACUACAUGAAGCUGGAAUCGCUAGUAAUCGUAGAUCAGCAUGCUACGGUGAAUACGUUCCCGGGUCU
rnacentral:rRNA from 1 species